GUGGGGAAUCUUGCGCAAUGGGCGAAAGCCUGACGCAGCCAUGCCGCGUGAAUGAUGAAGGUCUUAGGAUUGUAAAAUUCUUUCACCGGGGACGAUAAUGACGGUACCCGGAGAAGAAGCUCCGGCUAACUUCGUGCCAGCAGCCGCGGUAAUACGAAGGGGGCUAGCGUUGCUCGGAAUUACUGGGCGUAAAGAGCUCGUAGGCGGUUCAGUAAGUCGGGUGUGAAAGCUCCGAGCUCAACUCGGAGAGGCCACCCGAUACUGCUGUGACUUGAGUACAGUAGGGGAGCGUGGAAUUCCUGGUGUAGCGGUGAAAUGCGCAGAUAUCAGGAGGAACACCAGCGGCGAAGGCGGCGCUCUGGGCUGUAACUGACGCUGAGGAGCGAAAGUGUGGGUAGCAAACAGGAUUAGAUACCCUUGUAGUCC
rnacentral:rRNA from 1 species